rnacentral:rRNA from 1 species
CCUACGGGAGGCUGCAGUGAGGAAUAUUGGUCAAUGGGCGAGAGCCUGCACCAGCCAAGUCGCGUGAAGGAUGAAGGAUCUCUUGUUUGUAAACUUCUUUUAUAUGGGAAUAAAGUGAGGAACGUGUUCCUUUUUUUAUUUACCAUAUGAAUAAGCAUCGUCUAACUCCGUGCCAGCAUCCGCUGUAAUACGGCGUAUGCGACCGUUAUCCGGCUUUAUUGGGUUUAACGGGUGCGUAGGUGGUUUAUUACGUCAGCGUGGAAAGUUUGUUGCUCAACCAUAACAUUGCCGUUGAAACUGGUUGACUUGAGUAUAUUUGAGGUAGGCGGAACGCGUGGUGUAGCGGUGAAAGACAUAGAUAGCACGCAGAACUCCGAUUGCGAAGGCAGCUUACUAAACUAUAACUGACACUGAAGCACGAAAGCGUGGGGAUCAAACAGGAUUAGAUACACUAGUAGUC